UGCCAGUAGUCAUAUGCUUGUCUCAAAGAUUAAGCCAUGCAUGUCUCAGUACAAGCCAAAUUAAGGUGAAACCGCGAAAGGCUCAUUAUAUCAGUUAUGGUUCCUUAGAUCGUACCCACAUUUACUUGGAUAACUGUGGUAAUUCUAGAGCUAAUACAUGCAAACAGAGUUCCGACCAGAGAUGGAAGGAAUGCUUUUAUUAGAUCAAAACCAAUCGGUGUAAAUUUUAAUUUGCAUCGUUUAAUUUGGUGACUCUGAAUAACUUUAAGCUGAUCGCACGGUCUCGUACCGGCGACGCAUCUUUCAAAUGUCUGCCUUAUCAACUGUCGAUGGUAGGUUCUGCGCCUACCAUGGUUGUAACGGGUAACGGGGAAUCAGGGUUCGAUUCCGGAGAGGGAGCCUGAGAAACGGCUACCACAUCCAAGGAAGGCAGCAGGCGCGCAAAUUACCCACUCUCGGCACGGGGAGGUAGUGACGAAAAAUAACGAUACGGGACUCAUCCGAGGCCCCGUAAUCGGAAUGAGUACACUUUAAAUCCUUUAACGAGGAUCCAUUGGAGGACAAGUCUGGU
rnacentral:rRNA from 1 species